rnacentral:tRNA from 2 species
GCGGGAGUGGCGGAAUUGGCAGACGCACCAGACUUAGGAUCUGGCGCCCUCGGGCGUGGGGGUUCAAGUCCCUUCUCCCGCACCA